rnacentral:tRNA from 1 species
GGGGUUGUGGCUCAGUGGUGCAGUAUUUGCCUGGAGUGCCAAGCCCUGGGUUCGAUCCUCAGCACCACA